CCUGUAGCACAAUGGAUAGUGCGUUGGGGUUUUAAUCCAAAGGUCGUGGGUUUGAAACUCACCUAGUGGU